CUCGCUGAGUUUAAGCAUAUCAAUAAGCGGAUGAAAAGAAACUAACAAGGAUUCCCUUAGUAACGGCGAGCAAACCGGGAAGAGCCCAGCUUGAAAAUCGGACGUCUUCGGCAUUUGAAUUGUAGUCUGGAGAAGCGUCCUCAGCGACGGACCGGGCCCAAGUUCCCAGGAAAGGGGCGCCAAAGAGGGUGAGAGCCCCAUCGUGCCCGGACCCUGUCGUACCACGAGGCGCUGUCUACGAGUCGGGUUGUUUGGGAAUGCAACCCCAAUCUGGCGGUAAAUUCCGUCCAAGGCUAAAUAUGGGCGAGAGACCGAUAGCGAACAAGUACCGCGAGGUAAAGAUGAAAAAGACUUUGAAGAGAGAGUCAAAGAGUGCUUGAAAUUUUCGGGAGGGAAGCGGAUGGGGACCGGUGAUUCGUCCCGGUUGGAUGCGGAACGGAGCAAUGGCCGUGGACCGAUGCGGAUUAAGGUGAUAACAUAAGCCCGGGAUUUUGUUACGCCCGCGGAGACGUUGCUGCCUUAAUAGUGGUCUGCGGCAUGCGCCUCACGGCGUGCCUCGGCAUCUGCGUGCUCAGGGCAUCGGCCUGUGGGCUCCCCAUUCGACCCGUCUUGAAACACGG
rnacentral:rRNA from 1 species